rnacentral:tRNA from 1 species
UCCGUCAUGGUGUAGUGGCUAGCAUCAGCCGCUCUCAAAAAGAGCAUCAAACCGGCUAGACCCGGGUUCAAUUCCCGGUGACGGAA